ACGGGGGCCCGCACAAGCGGUGGAGCAUGUGGUUUAAUUCGAUGCAACGCGAAGAACCUUACAUGGCCUUGACAUACUAAGAACUUUCCAGAGAUGGAUUGGUGCCUUCGGGAACUUAGAUACAGGUGCUGCAUGGCUGUCGUCAGCUCGUGUCGUGAGAUGUUGGGUUAAGUCCCGCAACGAGCGCAACCCUUUUCCUUAUUUGCCAGCGGGUCAUGCCGGGAACUUUAAGGAUACUGCCAGUGACAAACUGGAGGAAGGCGGGGACGACGUCAAGUCAUCAUGGCCCUUACGGCCAGGGCUACACACGUGCUACAAUGGUCGGUACAAAGGGUUGCUACCUCGCGAGAGGAUGCUAAUCUCAAAAAGCCGAUCGUAGUCCGGAUCGCAGUCUGCAACUCGACUGCGUGAAGUCGGAAUCGCUUAGUAAUCGCGGAUCAGAAUGCCGCGGUGAUACGUUCCCGGGCNUUGUACACACCGCCC
rnacentral:rRNA from 1 species